rnacentral:rRNA from 1 species
AGAAUCAACGCUGGCGGCGUGCCUAACACAUGCAAGUCGAACGAGAAAGUGGAGCAAUCCAUGAGUAAAGUGGCGACCGGGUGAGUAACACGUGACUAACCUACCUUCGAGUGGGGGAUAACCUCGGGAAACCGAGGCUAAUACCGCAUAACAUCGCAAGAUCAAAGCAGCAAUGCGCUGGAAGAGGGGGUCGCGGCUGAUUAGCUAGUUGGCGGGGUAACGGCCCACCAAGGCGAAGAUCGGUAGCCGGCCUGAGAGGGCGCACGGCCACACUGGAACUGAAACACGGUCCAGACUCCUACGGGAGGCAGCAGUGGGGAAUUUUGCGCAAUGGGGGAAACCCUGACGCAGCAACGCCGCGUGGAGGAUGAAGCCCUUGGGGCGUAAACUCCUUUCGACCAAGACGAUAAUGACGGUACUGGUGGAAGAAGCACCGGCUAACUCUGCGCCAGCAGCCGC